rnacentral:rRNA from 1 species
GAUGAACGCUGGCGGCGUGCCUAAUACAUGCAAGUCGAGCGAACAGACGAGGAGCUUGCUCCUCUGACGUUAGCGGCGGACGGGUGAGUAACACGUGGAUAACCUACCUAUAAGACUGGGAUAACUUCGGGAAACCGGAGCUAAUACCGGAUAAUAUAUUGAACCGCAUGGUUCAAUAGUGAAAGACGGUUUUGCUGUCACUUAUAGAUGGAUCCGCGCCGCAUUAGCUAGUUGGUAAGGUAACGGCUUACCAAGGCAACGAUGCGUAGCCGACCUGAGAGGGUGAUCGGCCACACUGGAACGGAGACACGGACCAGACUACUACGGGAGGCAGCAGUAGGGAAUAUUCCGCAAUGGGCGAAAGCAUGACGGAGCAACGCCGCGUGAGUGAUGAAGGUCUUCGGAUCGUAAAACUCUGUUAUUAGGGAAGAACAAAUGUGUAAGUAAAUAUGCACGUCUUGACGGUACCUAAUCAGAAAGCCACGGCUAACUACGUG